GUAGGGCGCAAGCGUUAUCCGGAAUUAUUGGGCGUAAAGAGCUCGUAGGCGGUUUGUCGCGUCUGCUGUGAAAGACCGGGGCUCAACUCCGGUUCUGCAGUGGGUACGGGCAGACUAGAGUGAUGUAGGGGAGACUGGAAUUCCUGGUGUAGCGGUGAAAUGCGCAGAUAUCAGGAGGAACACCGAUGGCGAAGGCAGGUCUCUGGGCAUUAACUGACGCUGAGGAGCGAAAGCAUGGGGAGCGAACAGGAUUAGAUACCCUGGUAGUCCAUGCCGUAAACGUUGGGCACUAGGUGUGGGGGACAUUCCACGUUUUCCGCGCCGUAGCUAACGCAUUAAGUGCCCCGCCUGGGGAGUACGGCCGCAAGGCUA
rnacentral:rRNA from 1 species